GAGCUUUCGGGCUUCGACCGGCGUACGGGUGCGUAACGCGUAUACAAUCUGCCUUUCACAUAGGGAUAGCCCGAAGAAAUUUGGAUUAAUACCUAAUGGUAUAUAGAUGUGGCAUCACCUUUAUAUUAAAGCUGAGGCGGUGAAAGAUGAGUAUGCGUUCUAUUAGCUAGUUGGAGAGGUAACGGCUCCCCAGGGCUACGAUAGAUAGGGGUUCUGAGAGGGAUAUCCCCCACACUGGUACUGAGAUACGGACCAGACUCCUACGGGAGGCAGCAGUGAGGAAUAUUGGACAAUGGUCGGAAGACUGAUCCAGCCAUGCCGCGUGCAGGAAGACGGCCUUAUGGGUUGUAAACUGCUUUUGCAGGGGAAGAAUAAGGACUACGAGUAGUUUGAUGACGGUACUCUGCGAAUAAGCAUCGGCUAACUCCGUGCCAGCAGCCGCGGUAAUACGGAGGAUGCGAGCGUUAUCCGGAAUCAUUGGGUUUAAAGGGUCCGUAGGCGGGCUAAUAAGUCAGAGGUGAAAGCGCUCAGCUCAACUGAGCAACUGCCUUUGAAACUGUUAGUCUUGAAUGGUUGUGAAGUAGUUGGAAUGUGUAGUGUAGCGGUGAAAUGCUUAGAUAUUACACAGAACACCGAUAGCGAAGGCAUAUUACUAACAAUUAAUUGACGCUGAUGGACGAAAGCGUGGGGAGCGAACAGGAUUAGAUACCCUGGUAGUCCACGCUGUAAACGAUGGAUACUAGCUGUUUGGUUGUAAGACUGAGUGGCUAAG
rnacentral:rRNA from 1 species